GCGCGAGUGGUGGAACGGUAGACACGCUAGUUUCAGGUACUAGUGGGGGCAACCCUGUGGAGGUUCAAGUCCUCUCUCGCGCACCA
rnacentral:tRNA from 1 species